AUGAAGACAGCCCAUGAAGACAGCACAUACAGACAGACAGCCCAUGAGUACAACAGACAAACAGAGACAGACCCUGAAGACAGCCCAUGUAGAAAGCACAGAGAGACACUGCCCAUGAGAACAACACACAGACAGACAGACAGACAGACAGACAGACAGACAGACAGACAGACAGACAGACAGACAGACAGACAGACAGACAGACAGACAGACAGACAGACCGACCGACCGACAGACAGACAGACACAGACAGACAGACANNNNNNNNNNNNNNNNNNNNNNNNNNNNNNNNNNNNNNNNNNNNNNNNNNNNNNNNNNNNNNNNNNAGUAAGGAUAAGAUGUCAGUCCAUCUGUCCAUUGGUCUGUCUAUAUUUCUCCCAUGAAGAACAUUAUGUUGUCUUCCUCUUCAAAAUCCUUUUCUGAAUUGAACAAUUAAUCUGAGGGUAAACUCAGUUUUUCACCAAUGUCAAAAUCCCCAGUAUCUAAAGUAAGGCUGAGUCGGUAAAGGCUGUGCUGUAUACUGUAGGCCUAUCCAUUAUAAUAAACACCAGUCUAUCCCUGGUAGAGACACCAUUAUUAUCUUAUUUAAUGAUGUGGAAAUUGCUGAUUAAAAAGGGGACGUACAGUAUAUCUGCACAUUGACCAAUUGAAAAGAGAAUUACCUUUACAAACAGUGCAAUACUGCAUCAUAAACUAACACUAUCACAAUUUUAACUAAUGUGUGUUUCAGUUCCAACCUUUUCAUUCUCAAAGCUCUGAAGCUGAGGUCCAAAAGUUGCAAACUAAUGAUAGUCACAAGUCCCCCUUAUAUGCUGACUCACACUCACUCACCACUCACACACACACACACACACACACACACACACACACACACACACACACACACACACACACACACAUCUUGUCAGAGCACUAACUGUUGACACAUACCUACAAACUCAGUAACCAGAUCCUUGACCAGGUGUCCCACUAUGGCAUAUACCACCGCGACCACCACUAGAGCCGCGCAAACAAGGUAGAGCACGGCCUUGGGCAGUGGGAUGGGGUCCCGGGCUGGUGUCCUGUUGUCCGUAUACAGAAGGUCACUCUCCGAGUACUGAAAGACAUGUUCCAUCCCGGAGGUGUGAUUAGAGUUCAGCGGGGGGUGACUGGCGCUUAUCCCGCUCAGGUCCGGCUCUAGAGCAGUCACCAUGGUGGUGGUCGCCACCUCCGCUUCGUCGAUGAUGCCCUGAUUGACCAAGCCAGACGUCUUGUUGAUCAGAGGCAGGAUCUGAGAGAGGAAAUAGCUCCAGUCUUUGAUUGCACUUGUGUUGCAUAGAAACAUGAUGUCUACUAAAUAUCACUGCGCGAGGUCCGGCAGCAACAACAACCUGUGUGUGUCCAUCAAUACCGCGUAAUGACAGCCAGGUCACCAAGACACAAAAAUAUAAUGCGUAAAAAUAAAAAAGUGUCAUUCACGAAAUAAAAUCCACUCAACUGACAAACUUCUUGCUGUCUUUAGUAAAGAUAGAUGUGGUUGUUUUGUAAUAAAUCCAAUAGAUUUCCUUCUGAUGUGUCAGUCACGAGAGGCACGUUGAGCUCGAGGGUCCAACAUUGGUCACGACUGUCACAGUCAGAGGAGUCGACUGGAAUUAUUAAAGAGAACCGAUAUACCCAAACAAUAAAAUAGCCUUAUAUUCUACAUCUAGCUCAUGAAAGCGAUUGUUAAAGUUUUCAGAUCCAGUUUCAGAUGCAUUAAAAACGUAUUCAUUUAGCACGCAUUGGUGAAAAGGCGAAUUACAAAUAUUUGGUCAAUUAUUUAUUUUAUUUCCUUAUCUAUGUCAAAUGUCUUCGGUCGUUCGCAGUUAAUUCCAUAGUAACUCCCUUGACUGACUGACUGUUAGGAAAGAUGCGGUGUCAUCAUCAGGUAUAUUACUUUGAUUUCCAUGCAGAGAAACCUUUUUCAGAAUUUUCCUCAAGACAUCAACCAAACACGCGUGUAAUAAAAUGUGUAUGCAAGAGCUACUGAAAGUACGUGAUAUAGCCUACUGUGUGACUGCAGUGCGGAGUUUCGCGCGUCAAACUACGGUUAUGUUUUGAACAUUGAAGAAUAUUCGAUCUGGAAAAAGUCACGGUGACAUGUAUGCGAUAGCCUCGCACCUCCUGCUCUUCCACCAAGGUGGUCAGUCACCGGUACAUGACAAGGUAAGUCAUGCCGUGGUGUUAGACUGGCAGGGUUGCAUUAUAGCCAGCCAUGACUUCAUAUCCCGUUUCCAUCAGGAGAGACGCGGCUAAGCGCUGUCCAGCGCUGAAGUGCAUAAGUGAGAGAGCGAUGUUGCAGAAUAUUCUGGUUUGCUCUCUCUCGAUGUGUCCAUGACUCCAUGUCCUAACACAACGCACCCACAGCUGGACAAAGGGGUGGGUCGUUCAACGAAAAGUGUGCCUUUGAUAUUUUAAGAAGAAAUUGUGCACAAAUAUUGAUUUUUAAAAGUAUGUUAUAUUAAAUGAAGUUCCCUUUAAUAUACACCACAUGGAUAAUUCAAUAAAUCAUAUUUUUUUAUAAUAAUAGAUCUGCUAAAGCACAGAAAUUCAGCAUUUUGACAUGUCCCUCCAUUCACCCUCUGUGACUUCUAGGAAGAGUUUAACCCACUUAACCCCCCAAAAUCUCCUAGUUUUCACCAUCAUUGUACAGCCCUAUUUAUUUUGUUGCUUUGACAAAGUCAUUUCUGAAGAUUAUUAUUUAUUUCAUGUGAUUAGUGAUUCAUUUACGUCUGAACUCGCAUUUUAAUACGGUCAAUAAUAAUGAU
rnacentral:lncRNA from 13 species